rnacentral:rRNA from 1 species
UCGAAGGGGUACGGAUAACGAGCCCUGGACGAAGCACUAGUGAAAAUGCCGGAACGAGUAACGCUAAAACUGGUGAGAAUCCAGUUCGCCGAAAGCCCAAGGAUUCCUGGGGAAGGUACUUCCGCCCAGGGUGAGCCGGUCCCUAAGGUGAGGCCGACAGGCGUAGCCGAUGGAAAGCGGGUGCAUAUUCCCGCGCCACUUGUAAGGACGAAGCUACAUGACGCCGUAGAAG